rnacentral:lncRNA from 1 species
GGUGACGUCUUGAGUUGUGAUGAUGGAGAGAGAAAACAGUAAAUAUGUUUGAUUUAAUGUCUCUCAGUUCUUCCUUAUGCCUUCAAUUUUGCAUUGUUCUUUUGGAUUCGUUUAUCUUUUCAUUAUCUUCACCAUUUGAUCUAUCCUCAUUUUGGAUUAUUCACUGAAUAGGACGUAAAAGUUGUGUAUUAAAUAGACAGCAGAGGACUACUAGAAAUCUUUAUUUACAGAAGCUACCAUUAUUGGUUAGUUCGUCAAGAAUGAGUGGUCGGAAUAUACUCUAAGAUGGCUUAAACUUGGCUUUGGGAGGACUAAAUGGGGAAAAUAAGCUCAACUGGUCAAAUUAAUGUGACAGGAUGGCACAGUUUUUAUGAAGAUGAUUGAGAUAUAUUCCAUAUUUUGAUGUUUAAACAUUUAGCCACAGAAAUAUUUUUCAUUUAAUUUAUUCCUUUUACCAAGAUUCCUUGUUCUACAUGCAUGUGAACAUCUCUAUAUUUGUUAUGUUUGCAAUGCUUGAAGGUGAAUCUGUAUAAAGAAUUUAAACAUAAAUAUUCUUCUGACAUUUAGCCACAGGAAUAAUUUUCAUUUAAUUUAUUCCUAUUACCAAAAUUCCUUGUUCUACACGGAUGUGAAACUAUCUAUAUUUGUUAUGUUUGUAAUGCGUGUAGGUGAAUCUGUAUAAAGAAUUGAAACAUCAAUAUUUUUCUAGAAAAGAG